rnacentral:lncRNA from 1 species
AUGUGGUUGCCAAAGAAAUUGUUGAGGAAAUGUAUCAAUCAGAAUGUAAAAUCACGUCUGGAAAGUCGGAAGUCCUGGAAUUACACCUACUCAUUUUGCAGCCCCUGUCUGAUAAAUAUUGCUGGAAGUGCGUUUCUGAAGUGCCGGGAUGCGGCCGUUCCCUCCUCUGCCGAACACCAAACUGCUUCCACCUCCCCUUGUCCUAGCACCUCAGUGCAGAACACAACCUCUCAACUCUUUGAAACUGAGGUCCAUCUAGUGGGCACCGCUGGAUAUUACAUCAGCAAGAAAGUCAGCUUCUUAAAAGGUUCAUACCUACAUCCUGAUGAUGCUGGUGGCUUUUCCUUCAUGUUCAAAAUCUGGACUUUGGCUGGCCCCCAGCUGAUAAAUUUGCUCCCAGCUGAUAAACUUAGUCCCCAGAGAAAAAGGAGAAAUUUUGGAGAAGAAUGAUUGAUCAUUUCCUGAGAGAUAUGACCCAUAUAAAUGAAUUAAAGAUGCAGUUCUGCUAUCCCUCUCUGUUUCCUUCAGCAGACAUUACACCAGGAAAACUCCUGGGAGACUUAAUCGAAUCAUCUUGCUUGUGUGCACUAGAUCUUGCUGCCUAGGAGAUGUACAACUGGCAUAUCUAAUAGGCACAGUGUUCCCAAAGUGUUUAAAAAUAGGAACCCCGUGACACACAAAGGUAGAAAUUUUAAUUAGCAUAAUUAACAAACAUUUUCAUAUCAAAUUUACUUAUAAAGAAUAGUUAAGAGUAUCGUGAGUCCCUCAUCAUCCUUGACUAUGGAAGUAAACAUGGGUCAGAGGAGAGGAAACAUUGCAAAACCCUUUUGAAAAUAUGAUGUGAUUUUGAGACCAUCUUAUCAAAAUUAAUAAAAAAUAAAGCUUUUUCCA